CGAAAAACUAAGGAUUUUCUUACCCCAGGAGUAGAUUACCUUAGCCGUAUUUGGCACAACUUUUUGGAAUUUUGGGUCCUCAAUGCUCUUCAACUUUGUAUUUAUUUGGCUUUUUUUUUAACUAUUUUGAUCUGAGCGUCACUGAUGAGUCUUAUGUAGACGAAACGCGCGUCUGGCGUAUAAAAUUAUAAUCCUGGUACUUUUGAUAACUAUUUACACCACUGGGUCGAUGCCACUGCUGGUGGACGUUUCGUCCCCGAGGGUAUCACCAGCCCAGUAGUCAGCACUUCGGUGUUGACAUGAACAUCAAUUAUAUGGUCAUUUUUAUAAAUU
rnacentral:lncRNA from 1 species